rnacentral:tRNA from 1 species
GCCGGAUUAGCUCAGUUGGUAGAGCGCCCGCCUUGUAAGCGGAUGGUCGGCGGUUCGAAUCCGUCAUCCGGCA